UCCUGUGUGGCUCAGUUGGCAGAGCAUGGUGCUUGCAAUGCCAGGGUUGUGGGAUUGAUUCCCUCAGGGGAC
rnacentral:tRNA from 1 species